GGCAUCUGCAUUUCUAGGUGCUGGAAUUGCUGAUUGUGGAGACAAGAGAAAAAUGAGUAUCUCUGCUAUUAACAUUUUCAGACUAUGUGUAUCCUGCUGCCACAAGAUAAGCCUGUACCAUUCCCAGAGGUAGUUAAAAAACCUCUGAAUCUCUGUCCAUGUGAGAGAGCAAGCGAGAAAAGGCCAUGCCAUGCUUUAAGGAGCCCAAAACAUUUUAUUUCAUCCGGAGGUCCAGCCCGAAAUAAAAACCAUCAGACAUUUGAAAGAGAGAGAAAAAUUGCCAUUAUUUUGCCUCAGUUGCAUAAAAAUGGGGAGGAGUGAGAGCAAGAAGCACUGCAGGCUUGCAUCUGAGGCCAUAGCAGCUCCGGUGGCUUGGUGUUGCUAUGGGGAGAGUUGGGCCUGCCCGGGCAGGGAGCCCAUCAGCCAUCAAUAAGCUGUGACCUGGCAUUUGUGUUGACUAUAGAAACCCGGGGAGAGGGAGCCAUUUUGUGCUGGAUCUGGAGAAGGAGGCCCAAGUUUUUCCUGCUGUGGAGGGCAACAGCUGUGGGACGGUCAGUGAGAGUUCACAGGUGAUUUAUUCUUGAGAAGGAGCAAGAUGGAUGAAGUAUACCACAUCUCUUCUACUGAGAAGGUCCAGCAGCUGGAAAGAGAACUAGCAACACAGCUGGCAGAGCUGAAAGCACAAAUAGAAGACAAUGGGGUACUUCAGGGAACACCAAACAGGGCAUACAGUUCUGUUCCAAUUCCAAAAGAUGCAACUUAUUUCAGAAAAGAAAGAGAGAGAAUACUGAAGAGAAUCUCACAGGUGGCGGAAGCGAAGCCCCUUGUUAUUCAGGCUGAUGUCAUGCAGAGGGAGUUAGAGAGCUGCUGGAGAAGGGAGUACACACCAACAACCUUGCCGCUGCUGCUGCACCAGUUUUUUACAGACAGAAUCACUCAGCUAGUCCAGAGUAAAUAUUUGCACAUGCUCAGAUGGAAAAGAUUUUGCACGCACAGCAGUGUUAUUGAGCAGCUUUAUCCUCUCUAUCAGAAGCAAGUUAGUCACAUCAUGGAUGAAUACAAUGAUGCAGUUCAGAGGGCUGCAAGGCUUUCAGUGGCAAAGGAGAACUUCCUGACAGGAAAGAAAAAUCCAAUGAAUGUAGUGACAAAGGAAGAUCUGAUGAUUUACACCCAAUGGUUAGUGUGCCACCUACACUCUGUGAAGGGCAUUCACCGUUUUCUCCAGGUUCUCCAGCACUUGCCUGUUUCUCACAAACUGAAUGUGGUUGAUGAGAAAUGUCCUGAUGCGAUCCAAGACAAAUGGGACAAAUUAAGGAGUGCCUUUGACAGAAAUUCAGAUGUUUUUAAUACUGAUGUGUUUUGCUGUUCAAAAUUUUUAAGAAAUGGUGAGAAAUGGUCAGCUUUCCUUUAGAAAAACUACGAAUAAUGCAUUUGUUUAUGUAUACUCUUCAAGACAGGUCAACAGUACAAAUCUGGGAAACGCUGACUGCUGUCUUUGGGUUGCAUGCUUGAGAAAUGCAGUGUGUGGCUUCUACAGUCAGCAAGAAUCCUGGAAACCUGUUGUCCAAAUUCCAAGGGGUGCAGCCUUGAAUCUGUGGCAGUCACUCCUUUGGCCUUGCUGUGCACUGGGCUGCAGAAACAGGCAGUUUAGAAGAAUACUUGUGGGAUCUGCUCAAUAGAGAAUUCAGGAUGUGUCCUGAUUAUGCCAAACCCUGAAACUCACCCUUUUAACUUUCUGCAAAAAUAUUAUUCAAAAUAUUUCAGUGGGUGGCUGGUUUCUGGAGAAAAUAAAACAAGAAGAGAAAUGUUGUUUCA
rnacentral:lncRNA from 1 species